CUCUCGUUUGAAGGUGAGAGCUCACAAGGACAGCCUGCACUCAAGGUGUUCUUUGAAAUGCUUGUGCCUAAUUGGUUAAACACAUGUUAGCCUAGCAGUACCACAUUGUGCUAUGAAGCGGAGAGGGAGACACAAGGAUGGAAAAACAAAGAUGAUAAGAAGCAAGGGUUGUAUAAUCUCAUGGAGAAGAUGAAACUGGAACAUAGGUCAUUAUAAUUCAAGGUUCUUCCUGUUUCUGUCUCACACUGCUGAUCGGCCACUGAGGGCCCCUGAAUCCCAGAGAAAACUGUUCGCCUGAAAGAGAAGAACCCACUUUUCUUACUGUAGUAAUGACAACU